rnacentral:rRNA from 1 species
AGAGUUUGAUCCUGGCUCAGGAUGAACGCUGGCGGCGUGCCUAACACAUGCAAGUCGAGGGGCAGCGGGGAGGAAGCUUGCUUUCUCCGCCGGCGACCGGCGCACGGGUGAGUAACACGUAUGCAACCUGCCCCUGUCAGGGGGACAACCCGCCGAAAGGCGGGCUAAACCCGCGUACAUGCCACCGGGGCAUCCCGGAGGCAGGAAAGGCUUCGGCCGGACAGGGAUGGGCAUGCGGCGCAUUAGGCAGUAGGCGGGGUAACGGCCCACCUAACCGACGAUGCGUAGGGGUUCUGAGAGGAAGGUCCCCCACACUGGUACUGAGACACGGACCAGACUCCUACGGGAGGCAGCAGUGAGGAAUAUUGGUCAAUGGUCGGGAGACUGAACCAGCCAAGCCGCGUGAGGGAGGAAGGUACAGAGUAUCGUAAACCUCUUUUGUCAGGGAACAAAGGCGGGGACGUGUCCCCGGAUGAGUGUACCUGAAGAAAAAGCAUCGGCUAACUCCGUGCCAGCAGCCGCGGUAAUACGGAGGAUGCGAGCGUUAUCCGGAUUUAUUGGGUUUAAAGGGUGCGCAGGCGGUCUGUUAAGUCAGCGGUCAAAGCCCGGGGCUCAACCCCGGCCCGCCGUUGAAACUGGCAGUCUCGAGUUGGAGAGAAGUAUGCGGAAUGCGCGGUGUAGCGGUGAAAUGCAUAGAUAUCGCGCAGAACUCCGAUUGCGAAGGCAGCAUGCCGGCUCCACACUGACGCUGAGGCACGAAAGCGUGGGUAUCGAACAGGAUUAGAUACCCUGGUAGUCCACGCAGUAAACGAUGAAUGCUGGCUGUCCGGGGGGACUGACCCCUGGGUGGCGAAGCGAAAGCGAUAAGCAUUCCACCUGGGGAGUACGCCGGCAACGGUGAAACUCAAAGGAAUUGACGGGGGCCCGCACAAGCGGAGGAACAUGUGGUUUAAUUCGAUGAUACGCGAGGAACCUUACCCGGGCUCAAACGGGGAGUGGCGCAGGCAGAGACGCCUGUUUCCCACGGGACACUCCCCGAGGUGCUGCAUGGUUGUCGUCAGCUCGUGCCGUGAGGUGUCGGCUUAAGUGCCAUAACGAGCGCAACCCCCGCGUGCAGUUGCUAACAGUCAACGCUGAGGACUCUGCACGGACUGCCGGCGCAAGCCGCGAGGAAGGCGGGAAUGACGUCAAAUCAGCACGGCCCUUACGUCCGGGGCGACACACGUGUUACAAUGGGUGGUACAGCGGGAAGCCAGGCGGCGACGCCGAGCGGAACCCGAAAUCCACUCUCAGUUCGGAUCGGAGUCUGCAACCCGACUCCGUGAAGCUGGAUUCGCUAGUAAUCGCGCAUCAGCCAUGGCGCGGUGAAUACGUUCCCGGGCCUUGCACACACCGCCCGUCAAG